AGAUAGCAGGAGAGUCACUGGGACCUCAGCCCCAACUGGGAAGAGGCUGGGAAGCACAAAUCCAGAAAUACAUGGAGCUUUCUGCACCCAGCCCAAUUUCAUUUGAUAAUGAGGAGAACCUUGGGAAGAAAGCACUGUGAGGCAUGGAGGACCCCAGAAGGGGAACCAGCAUCUUUAGUGGAAUCUUCAAUGAAAACUGGGGAGGAAGUAGCAGAUCUGGCAAACAAAUCCCUGCCAGAGAACAAACCUAGUGCAGCACCAGUGAAAAAUCAGAAAAACCUCUGUGAGCAGAACAGAGCAGCCCUGUGGUGGUCAGCCAAGACUGGGAAUGAAGGCAGGAAAAGGGAACGCCCUGGGAGCAGAGGCAAAGAAGAGGACAUCGAUCAGGUCGGAGGCUGGGCCACCACGGUACUGCUUGAGUGCAGUUAAAGCUCUGCCAGAGAAGGGAAUAUCCAAGUUACAGGUCCAGCAGGAAUUC